rnacentral:rRNA from 1 species
GACAGAGGGUGCAAACGUUGCUCGGAAUCACUGGGCGUAAAGGGCGCGUAGGCGGGAAUGUAAGUCGGGCGUGAAAUCCCCAGGCUCAACCUGGGAACUGCACUCGAAACUGCGUUUCUUGAGUAUCGGAGAGGAAAGCGGAAUUCCUGGUGUAGAGGUGAAAUUCGUAGAUAUCAGGAGGAACACCAGUGGCGAAGGCGGCUUUCUGGACGGUAACUGACGCUGAGGCGCGAAAGCGUGGGGAGCGAACAGG